GAUGAACGCUGGCGGCGUGCCUAAUACAUGCAAGUCGAGCGAACAGAUAAGGCGCUUGCUCCUUUGACGUUAGCGGCGGACGGGUGAGUAACACGUGGGUAACCUACCUAUAAGACUGAAAUAACUCCGGGAAACCGGGUCUAAUGCCGGAUAACAUGUUGAACCGCAUGGUUCUACAGUGAAAGGCGGCUUUGCUGUCCCUUAUAGAUGGACCCAGGCCGGAUUAGCGAGUUGGGGGGGUAACGGCUCACCAAGGCAACGAUCCGUAGCCGACCUGAGAGGAUGAGCAGCCACACGGGAAGUGAGACACGGUCCAGACUCCUACGGGAGGCAGCAGUGGGGAAUAUUGGACAAUGGGCGAAAGCCUGAUCCAGCAAUGCCGCGUGUGUGAAGAAGGUCUUCGGAUUGUAAAGCACGUUAAGUUGGGAGGAAGGGCAGUAAGUUAAUACCUUGCUGUUUUGACGUUACCAACAGAAUAAGCACCGGCUAACUUCGUG
rnacentral:rRNA from 1 species